AGGUUGCAUAAUGGAAAUGAUAUUUAUCCCCAACUUAAAUUUCUAUUAUGUUUAUCAUUUCCUAGUAUAUAUCAUCUAUUUAUAAUUAUAUACAUGUCAAGGUGUCAUCUAAAGAAUGUUGUGUUUGUGUAAAUUGUCUGAUACAAGUAGCCUUGUUCGACACCAAAUGUGAUGGACUCAACUUGCUUCUAAGAUCAGCAAUACCAAACAAAUAUCUAAAAUUACUAGGGGAAAGACCGUGUUUUCUCCUCUUCUGAUGCCCUUCGAUCAGAUUCUCAGUGUUGCCCAAUGAAUUAGUAACUGGUAAGUUCUCGUCCUCUUUUCCAAAAUUAGUACUUUAUCGGUGUUUAUUCUUUCUGGUUCAUGUUACUGAUAAUAACCAUGGCUGGGACUUGUUAUGUGUUUUACAAGUAUAACUAAGAGCUGGAGAGAAAGGGAGUGUGGUUCUUCAGCAGCAAUUUGUAAGGGUUAAGCAGGGUGUUCUGUUGCCAAACCCAGAGAAAAUUAAGGUGACGAGGGUCGGACUUACAGAAGGCUACAGUCUCAGAAGAUUUUCUGCGUCAAUCCUUUGGUAACAGGUUUGAAUGUGGCUUUGGGUAAGCUAUGUAUACAUAUUCCAAAUCACAUAUUUUCCAGAAUUCUUGCACAAUAGUUGCUCACCUGAACAAGUAUUAUGAGAACACAGAAAUGCUUGAUUAUAUAGAGCACUGAAACUUUAAUGUAGUAUUUAGUUUGUAUAACUCUGAAUUGAAACUUCAUGUAGCUUCGCCGAAGGGUAGGGGCAUCAUGCUAUGAACAUGUAUUCUCAAUUUCUCACACUCAAAAUUGUGAUUAUCGAUCUUACUACCCUAUUUCAUAACUCAUUGCAUAAGUCAGUCAUUUGACUUGCUUCAUCCUGUAAAUCAAAUUAUU